AUUGAACGCUGGCGGCAGGCCUAACACAUGCAAGUCGAGCGAGCGGCGGACGGGUGAGUAAUGUCUGGGAAUUGCCAAGUCGAGGGGGAUAACAGUUGGAAAUGACUGCUAAUACCGCAUACGAUUGUCUUGCCCAGGUGGGAUUAGCUAGUUGGUGAGGUAAUGGCUCACCAAGGCGACGAUCCCUAGCUGGUCUGAGAGGAUGAUCAGCCACACUGGGACUGAGACACGGUCCAGACUCCUACGGGAGGCAGCAGUGGGGAAUAUUGCACAAUGGGCGAAACCCUGAUACAGCCAUGCCGCGUGUGUGAAGAAGGCCUUCGGGUUGUAAAGCACUUUCAGUGGGGAGGCGUUACUCACAGAAGAAGCACCGGCUAACUCCGUGCCAGCAGCCGCGGUAAUUC
rnacentral:rRNA from 1 species